rnacentral:lncRNA from 1 species
UAUGAUGUAUAUUAUUUUUUGAUUAAAAAUAAAAAUAACUAUAAAUUAUCAAAAUAAUACCUAUUAUGGAUUUUGCGUUUAUUCAUUUUGUUUCUUUAAGUAUUAUUUUUCUAAGUCUAAACAUGUUUUUGAUAAUAAUAUGGUGUUGCAAUCAUUUAUUGAAAACAGCAAAAAUAUCCCGAAAUAAAAUGAAAGUUAAAUUAAAUUUGUGAAUUAUAGAAAAAAGGGAAAUUAAUUGCAUUGCGUAGAAUUUCCAAAGGGUCAUCGAGGAUAUACUUUCUUCUUAAACACGAUAACUUAAAAUAAAUACCAGAGAUUUAUCCAAUACAUCUGUGUUUUUUUUAAAAUAAAUAAGUCUAUUUAAAAAAAAUAUGUACUGAUGUGUAGGUAUUUUGAGCUUAAAUUUGAUUAAAUUGGCUAAACAAGAAACUAAUAUGAUUUCGAUAUUUCAGCUUAAAUUUUUCUUUACCUUGUAAUUAACUGUAAGUCCGUCUCCUUUGUAUAAUCCUAAAAAUGACCAACUUACGUACUUUUUAUAGUUAAUUUGUGUUGUUUUUUUUUCAGGUUUAAAGAAAAUUGACAGGAUCACUGUAUCAAAACAAAGAUUUCUCCAUACCUAUUUCUUUAUUCUGAGCUACCUACUAUAUUAUAAAUGUCUGCUCCAAGUUGCGUCGGUCUCUUUCCCCGUGGUUCUAUUUUAGUAGGUACGUCAUUUGUAAUUAAUUUACUGCUCAUUAUAUGACCACAUUCAGUUUCUUGUAUCGUAUUUUGGCUAUUAUAUUCGGUUUUCGAAUAAUUCCUGUAGGUACCUACUUCAAUCUAUCUACCUAUCUAAUUUCAUAGUUACGUAUCAUAAAUCUUAAAGAAUUUUUUCUCCAUGAUGUUUAGUUUUCUCUCAUCUUCCUGGAUCAUGGGCUACGUUUCACAUGUGUACAUUAUCACUGGUCUUGGUAUUUCGAUUUCCUGGAUAGCAGUUUCGAUCCCUAAACUCCGGUAGUGUAUAGAAACAAUUUCUUCCUGUGUACUUUAGUUUUAGUACCUGUAUAAUUAGUUUUUUAAUUUCUUAUCGUGAUUACCAUUUAUAUUACUUAGGUCGGGGUUUAAAUAUUAAAAAUUGUUCACUUCCUUCCCAACAUAUACUUUGUAACUCGUAGUCUAGUUGUUUGUUGCAUUUGAAGUUAGUUCAUGGAGAUAUGUUUGUAUUAAGUUGUAUUCUCGUUAAUGACUAAUACUAGUUUUUUAGUCUGUAUCAAAGAUUCUGUUCAUUUUUGUAUACCUUGCUCAUUUUUAUCCAAUAUGACGACGUCAUCAGAAUAUCUAUGCUAACAGAGGAAUAUUUCGACCCAGUUGAUUAUUAUAAACCUAUUAGUUUUGUACUCUACUAUUGCUUUUAACACGAUAUUAAAGAGUAAUAGUGAUUGGCGCGUUGCCUUGUUUUAUCCUUGUUGUUUGGAAUUGUUCUGAGUUUUCGUGACCAAAUUUAAUCGUGAAUUUUGAUCCUUUUGUACUCGCAUUAAACAUCAAUAUUUAUUUUAAGGGAACUCCAAAUAACUGUAAACAUCUCCAUAUUUCUGUUCUCUACAUUUAGUGUUAUGCUUAUUUGAGGUUUACAAAGAUUAAGUUUAGUGGCUUAUUAAAUUCUUCGUACUUUUUUAUUACUUGUUUAAAUGUGAAUAUAUGGUCUAUUUUUAAAUUUACCUGACUUGAAACCAUUCUAAUAUUUUAUAAUAUUAUUACCGUAUGGUUUUAAUCGGUUUAGUGUAGGUUUGGUAGGAUUUUGUACCUAUAUAGUGUUAAGUAGGGAGAUCCUGUAGUUUUUGAAGUCUAUGAGGUUCCUUUUCUUGUAUAUAGGGCAUAUUAUCGAUAUGUUCCACUCCAGUAAAAUCCUCUCGGCUGUCUGUACACAGGUAUAUGAUUAGGUUUCAUACUACUUGUGUUAAUUUUUAUCCACUGUUCUUUAAUAAUUCAGCCUCGAUAAAAUCUUUCUGACUAAGUAUUUUAUCCUCUGAUUCUACAGUUAAAUACUUUAUGUCCCUUUGAGUGGCGUCCAUUGGCGUUUUUAGCAAUUAUUUAAAUAUUUCUCUGAAUUUGUUUACUUCUUUAUUAAGAGUGUUAUUGUUGUCUGAUGUUGAUGAUCAGUGUUCUUGAUUUAUGUUUCUUUGAUAGCUCAUUUGUUAUUUCAAAAAAAAAAAAAAAAAAAAA